GCGGAGGAAAAGAAACUAACAAGGAUUCCCCUAGUAACGGCGAGUGAAGCGGGAAGAGCUCAAAUUUAAAAUCUGGCUUGCUUGCAAGUCCGAGUUGUAGUCUGAAGAAGCGUUUUCCAUGAAAGCUGAGGCACAAGUCCUUUGGAACAGGGCAUCAUAGAGGGUGAGAAUCCCGUCCAUGGUCUCAUGCAUUUCAUUUUGUGAUACGUUUUCUAAGAGUCAGGUUGUUUGGGAAUGCAGCCUAAAAUGGGUGGUAAAUUUCAUCUAAAGCUAAAUAUUGGCGAGAGACCGAUAGCGAACAAGUACCGUGAGGGAAAGAUGAAAAGAACUUUGAAAAGAGAGUUAAAAAGUACGUGAAAUUGUUGAAAGGGAACCGUUUGAAGCCAGUCUUGCUUACUUGUGAUCAAUCUUAGCUUCGGCUUGGAUGCACUCUCAAGUUAUGCAGGUCAACGUCAGUUUGAGAGGUGGGAAAAAAGUUUGAGGAAUGUGGCCUUCGGGUGUUAUAGCCUCUUACUAAAUACCAUCUCCUGGACUGAGGCUCGCAGCAAAAAUGUGGGCUGGUUUGCUCCUGAGGUGAAUCAUUAUUAAGACAGCUUGCUGACUUAGUUUUGUGGAUCUUCACGGUAGGCUAGCUUCUAAUUUGCUUAGGUCGUUGACAUAAUGGCUUUAAAUGAC
rnacentral:rRNA from 1 species